ensembl:lncRNA
UGUGGAUUUAGGGUUAGACUGGGUAAGACUGGUGUCAGGGUUAGACUGGGUUAGACUAUGGAGUUAGGGUUAGACUGGGUUAGACUGUGGUGUUAGGGUUAGACUGGGUUAGACUGUGGUGUUAGGUUUAGACUGGGUUAGACUAUGGAGUUAGGGUUAGACUGGGUUAGACUGUGGUGUUAGGGUUAGACUGGGUUAGACUAUGGAGUUAGGGUUAGACUGGGUUAGACUAUGGAGUUAGGGUUAGACUGGGUUAGACUGUGGUGUUAGGGUUAGACUGGGUUAGACUGUGGUGUUAGGGAUAGACUGGGUUAGACUGUGGCGUUAGGGUUAGACUGGGUUAGACUGUGGAGUUAGGGUUAGACUGGGUUAGACUGUGGCGUUAGGGUUAGACUGGGUUAGACUGUGGAGUUAGGGUUAGACUGGGUUAGACUGUGGUGUUAGGGUUAGACUGGGUUAGACUGGUGUUAGGGUUAGACUGGGUUAGACUGUGGUGUUAGGGUUAGACUGGGCCAUUAGGGUUAGACUGGUUUAGACUGUGGCGCUAGGGUUAGACUGUUGUCAGGGUUAGACUGGGUUAGACUGUGGUGGUAGGGUUAGACUGGGUUAGACUGUGGAGUUAGGGUUAGACUGGGUUAGACUAUGGAGUUAGGGUUAGACUGGGUUAGACUAUGGUGUUAGGGUUAGACUGGGUUAGGCUUAGACUGGGUUAGACUGUGGAGUUAGGGUUAGACUGUGGAGUUAGGGUUAGACUGGGUUAGACUGUGGAGUUAGGGUUAGACUGGGUUAGACUAUGGAGUUAGGGUUAGACUGGGUUAGACUGUGGUGUUAGGGUUAGACUGGG